rnacentral:rRNA from 1 species
GUGGGGAAUCUUGCGCAAUGGGCGAAAGCCUGACGCAGCCAUGCCGCGUGAAUGAUGAAGGUCUUAGGAUUGUAAAAUUCUUUCACCGGGGACGAUAAUGACGGUACCCGGAGAAGAAGCCCCGGCUAACUUCGUGCCAGCAGCCGCGGUAAUACGAAGGGGGCUAGCGUUGCUCGGAAUUACUGGGCGUAAAGGGAGCGUAGGCGGAUAGUUUAGUCAGAGGUGAAAGCCCAGGGCUCAACCUUGGAAUUGCCUUUGAUACUGGCUAUCUUGAGUAUGGAAGAGGUAUGUGGAACUCCGAGUGUAGAGGUGAAAUUCGUAGAUAUUCGGAAGAACACCAGUGGCGAAGGCGACAUACUGGUCCAUUACUGACGCUGAGGCUCGAAAGCGUGGGGAGCAAACAGGAUUAGAAACCCUUGUAGUCC